rnacentral:rRNA from 1 species
AACGAACGCUGGCGGCGUGCCAAACACAUGCAAGUCGAACGUGAUUGGAAGCUUGCUUCCAUGAAAGUGGCGCACGGGUGAGUAACGCGUAGAUAAUCUACCUGAUGGAUCGGGAUAACACUUCGAAAGGGGUGCUAAUACCGGAUAAGCCCACGGAGUCCUUGGACACUGCGGGAAAAGGGGGGGACCUUCGGGCCUUCCGUCAUCAGAUGAGUCUGCGUACCAUUAGCUAGUUGGUGGGGUAAAGGCCUACCAAGGCGACGAUGGUUAGCUGGUCUGAGAGGAUGAGCAGCCACACUGGAACUGAGACACGGUCCAGACUCCUUCGGGAGGCAGCAGUUGGGAAUUUUGCGCAAUGGGGGAAACCCUGACGCAGCAACGCCGCGUGAGUGAUGAAGGCCCUUGGGUCGUAAAGCUCUGACAGAGGGAAAGAAAUGCAGGGGGGCUAAUAUCCCUUUUGCUUGACGGUACCCUCAAAGGAAGCACCGGCUAACUCCGUGCCAGCCGCCGCCGUAAUAC